rnacentral:rRNA from 1 species
UUAAGUUAAUAAGGGCGCACGGUGGAUGCCUUGGCACUAGAAGCCGAUGAAGGACGUGACUAACGACGAAAUGCUUUGGGGAGCUGUAAGUGAGCAAUGAUCCAGAGAUGUCCGAAUGGGGGAACCCGGCAUGUAAUGCAUGUCACUCAUUACUGUUAAGGUAAUGAAGAGGAAGACGCAGUGAACUGAAACAUCUAAGUAGCUGCAGGAAGAGAAAGCAAACGCGAUUGCCUUAGUAGCGGCGAGCGAAAUGGCAAGAGGGCAAACCGAUGUGUUUACACAUCGGGGUUGUAGGACUGCGACGUGGGACGACAAGAUUAUAGAAGAAUUACCUGGGAAGGUAAGCCAAAGAGAGUAACAGCCUCGUAUUCGAAAUAGUCUUUAACCCUAGCAGUAUCCUGAGUACGGCGAGACACGAGAAAUCUCGUCGGAAUCUGGGAGGACCAUCUCCUAACCCUAAAUACUCUCUAGUGACCGAUAGUGAACCAGUACCGUGAGGGAAAGGUGAAAAGCACCCCGGGAGGGGAGUGAAAUAGAACCUGAAACCGUGUGCCUACAACAAGUUCGAGCCCGUUAAUGGGUGAGAGCGUGCCUUUUGUAGAAUGAACCGGCGAGUUACGAUAUGAUGCGAGGUUAAGUUGAAGAGACGGAGCCGUAGGGAAACCGAGUCUUAAUAGGGCGCAUUAGUAUCAUGUCGUAGACCCGAAACCAUGUGACCUACCCAUGAGCAGGGUGAAGGUGAGGUAAAACUCACUGGAGGCCCGAACCAGGGCACGUUGAAAAGUGCUUGGAUGACUUGUGGGUAGCGGAGAAAUUCCAAACGAACUUGGAGAUAGCUGGUUCUCUCCGAAAUAGCUUUAGGGCUAGCGUCGAUGUUAAGUCUCUUGGAGGUAGAGCACUGUUUGAUUGAGGGGUCCAUCCCGGAUUACCAAUAUCAGAUAAACUCCGAAUGCCAAUGAGAUAUAAUCGGCAGUCAGACUGCGAGUGCUAAGAUCCGUAGUCGAAAGGGAAACAGCCCAGACCACCAGCUAAGGUCCCAAAAUAUAUGUUAAGUGGAAAAGGAUGUGGGGUUGCACAGACAACUAGGAUGUUAGCUUAGAAGCAGCUAUUCAUUCAAAGAGUGCGUAAUAGCUCACUAGUCGAGUGACCCUGCGCCGAAAAUGUACCGGGGCUAAAACAUAUUACCGAAGCUGUGGAUACCUUUUAGGUAUGGUAGGAGAGCGUUCUAUGUGUGAAGAAGGUGUACCGUGAGGAGCGCUGGAACGCAUAGAAGUGAGAAUGCCGGUAUGAGUAGCGAAAGACAGGUGAGAAUCCUGUCCACCGUAUGACUAAGGUUUCCAGGGGAAGGCUCGUCCUCCCUGGGUUAGUCGGGACCUAAGGAGAGACCGAAAGGUGUAUCCGAUGGACAACAGGUUGAUAUUCCUGUACUAGAGUAUAUAGUGAUGGAGGGACGCAGUAGGCUAACUAAAGCGUGCGAUUGGAAGUGCACGUCUAAGCAGUGAGGUGUGAUAUGAGUCAAAUGCUUAUAUCUUUAACAUUGAGCUGUGAUGGGGAGCGAAGUUAAGUAGCGAAGUUAGUGAUGUCACACUGCCAAGAAAAGCUUCUAGCGUUAAUUAUACUCUACCCGUACCGCAAACCGACACAGGUAGUCGAGGCGAGUAGCCUCAGGUGAGCGAGAGAACUCUCGUUAAGGAACUCGGCAAAAUGGCCCCGUAACUUCGGGAGAAGGGGCGCUGGCUUUAAGUCAGCCGCAGUGAAUAGGCCCAAGCAACUGUUUAUCAAAAACACAGCUCUCUGCUAAAUCGUAAGAUGAUGUAUAGGGGGUGACGCCUGCCCGGUGCUGGAAGGUUAAGAGGAGCGCUUAGCAUUAGCGAAGGUGUGAAUUGAAGCCCCAGUAAACGGCGGCCGUAACUAUAACGGUCCUAAGGUAGCGAAAUUCCUUGUCGGGUAAGUUCCGACCCGCACGAAAGGCGUAAUGAUUUGGGCACUGUCUCAACGAGAGACUCGGUGAAAUUUUAGUACCUGUGAAGAUGCAGGU